UCAUUCUGGUCAUACGUAUCUCCCCCGC
rnacentral:piRNA from 1 species